GACCGUGAAGCUCAGCCUGGUCCGAGCGCCCGCCUGUCGAGCGGGAGGCCGCGGGUUCAAAUCCCGUCACGGUCG
rnacentral:tRNA from 2 species